GCUAGCAUGACACAGAGGUUUGAGUGUUGGACUAUGAUUCCGGAGACCAGGGUUCGAUUCCUAGUUUGGUCA